AUGUUCUGUAUGCAGAACACCGGUUAUGAGACGAUUGUGAACGAAAUCAUAGCACUGAACGUGGGCGCGCAACCUCCACAACCUAACGUUGCGGUCGAGGUGCCCGGGAUUAGGCCUGACAUCACCCCAGCACCCGGUGUUAGAAGAUCACGCCAGGAAGACCAGAAUGUGACUGCUCUGCCGGUUCAGGCCAAUGGACAAAAGACUGCAAACCCCUGUGAGAUCAGUGUGAUACCUAACACCCCUGAGCAAAAACGUCCAAGACAAUCAACUCAAUCAGAAGACACGGAGUUCUGGAACGAACAUUUUGCUCAAGCAUGGGAUGGACGUGAUAUGAACGCCCCAUCUAAUGUGGAUCAAGAGAAGAAUUUAAAUCAACCCACAGACACUGUUGAAAACGUCGCAGAUUCAGAUGAUGAUGCAGACAAGCUUCCUUCAAACCAGGAGUAAUACAAGAACCAACAGCAGAACGACACAAACAAAGACAUUUUGAACACUAUUGCCAAGAGCCCAGAAAGAAUUAUAAAGGACCAAGCACGUUUUAAUCAGACUUUUGCCAAGAACCAACAACAGAACGACACAAACAAAGACAUUUUGAACACUAUUGCCAAGAGCCAACAGCAGAACGACGCAAACAAAGACAUUUUGAACACUAUUGUCAAGAACCAAAAAAGAAUUAUAGAGGACCAGCAGAAACACUGGAUCAUCCUUAAACAAAUUAUUGCGUUACUAAAACGUCAUGAUGGCGGACAUGCUCAGACGGCCUGUGAUCAGGAAAUGACUCUAACGCUGUUAACUGAACUGCUGGGGCUUUUUAAAUAACUGUAUUGGUGAGUCCUAUUUUCUUUACCCAGUUUUUUUUUUCCUAAGUGUGUAUUGUUUUUGUCACAAGUGUGCAUAGAUGUGGUUUUAUGAUUAGAUUUUUUCCUUCUUCUACGUUUAGUUGUGUGGGGUG
ensembl:lncRNA